rnacentral:rRNA from 1 species
CCUACGGGUGGCAGCAGUGGGGAAUCUUGCACAAUGGGCGAAACCCUGAUGCAGCAACGCCGCGUGAGUGAAGAAGGUUUUCGGAUCGUAAAGCCCUGUUUGCAGGGAAGAGGAUGCACGGUACCUGCAGAGGACGCUACGGCUAAAUACGUGCCAGCAGCCGCGGUAAUACGUAGGUGGCAAGCGUUGUUCGGAAUUACUGGGCGUAAAGGAUGCGUAGGCGGUUAAACAAGUUAUAUGUUAAAUAUAUAGGCUUAACCUGUAGAAAGCAUAUGAAACUGGUAGACUAGAGUGCAGGAGAGGUGAGUGGAAGUCCUAGUGUAGCGGUGAAAUGCGUAGAGAUAAGGAAGAACACCAGUGGCGAAGGCGACUUGCUGGACUGUAACUGACGCUGAGGCAUGAGAGCAUGGGGAGCAAACAGGAUUAGAUACCCGUGUAGUC